UACGGGGGGAGCAAGCGUUGUUCGGAUUUACUGGGCGUAAAGGGCGCGUAGGCGGCCAGCGCAAGUCAGUUGUGAAAUCUCCGGGCUUAACUCGGAAAGGUCAACUGAUACUGCGCGGCUAGAGUGCAGAAGGGGCAACUGGAAUUCUCGGUGUAGCGGUGAAAUGCGUAGAUAUCGAGAGGAACACCUGCGGCGAAGGCGGGUUGCUGGGCUGACACUGACGCUGAUGCGCGGAAGCCAGGGGAGCGAACGGG
rnacentral:rRNA from 1 species